UUCGUGCGUCCGAUUAUGGGAAUACCCCCUCUCUCUCUCUCUCUAAUCACUCUCCUUCUCUCUCUUCGCAUCUACUCGUUAUUCUAAUUCUACCUCUUUGCCUACUUCUCUUUAGUCCUUGUCUCUCCUCUCUUUUUUAUUAAAGAGGGGCUCGGUUUGUCGAUACAGGGAUCAGACACUGCAGACCAUCUCUAUUUAGAGCAUUCUUCUUUUCAUCGCUUUCCUCUUUCGUGUUCUCAUCCCCUCCUUUUCGAUCUCUUCUUCUCAAAUCCUCUAAAUUCUCCAUUAUAUUGCUUAAAUUUGCAAUUUCUGCUCUGUAAUUCUUCGUCUUCUUCCUUCUUGAGGUUUUGUGAUUACUGAGAUUACUUUUCAGUUAAGAAUGUUCGAGAUGAUCGAUAUGUUAUCUGGUUUUCAAGAUGUGAACGUGGAGAGACAAAAGAUCCAAAAUCCGAAAAGGCUGGAAAGAUCGUUGCAUGCUUUUCCACGGCUUUCUUGAACUUGGUACUCUGCUCAGCUCUUUUUCUGAUCCUCUCUCAAACAAACAAACAAAAAUAGCUACACAAAGCACAUUUCAGUACGAAGCUCAAGAAAGCCGUGGGAAAACAUGGAAGGAUUUUCUUAAUUCUCAUCUUUGACAAUUCUCAGAUCCCAUCUUCAAAAGUAAACUAAAAGCUAGAUCAGGUUUCAGAAGAUAAGAGCAAUAUUAGAUUCAGAAAACCAGAAAACAGUAGUGGAUGGAAUUCGACUUGGAAGAAGAUAAGGAUUAGUCUGAAAAGCUGUUAUCUGCAUUUUCACGUCGAGCCAGAUCCAGUUUGUUUUAUCUCUUGUUUUCUUAAACAAAUAAAAAUAAAAAUAAAAUCGAAGCAAGAAAGAAAGGCCAGAUCUGGAUUAAAAGAAUAUCCCCAACAAUAAUUAUUUUCCUUAAAUGUCUGCAAAUAUUUAUUUCUUGGCAAAGCUUAAUUUCCAAUCCAGAUUUCGUUAUGAGAAAUUUCCUCUUGUAACCGUAGAUCCUUCAAAAUGGAUGUUGGAAUUUAUAUAUAUAUAUAUAUAUAUAUAUAUUUACGUAUAAAUGUCUGGCAGAUUUCGUUUUGCCGAUUUGUUUCAUUUAACAUCAUGUUUUGAUACUAAUAACACAAAGCCCACAAACACAAAACUCUUAUUUGAGCUUGAUUAGCUUUGAUCUUAUCUUUGCUUCUUUUAAGUGUUUCGUAUAUUGUAUCAACUCUUUUUCUAGUGUGUGACUGGUCUGCAUAGAAACUCUGAUUUUUUCUCUACUCUGUUGUUAUCGAAAGGGGGAGGAGGAAAAUAUCAUCGAAUUAACUCAUUCAAUCAAAUGAUUUCUUUAUGAGGCUUAACUAAUGACUGAAGAGAAGGGUCUCUCUCUACGCACAAAAAAUAGUUCAGUAUUUUGGAUUUUUUUUUUUUUUUUUAAUUUUCUUCUUUCUCUUUUUUAAAAUUUAGGUAAAGGACAUUGAAAUAAUAGAGGUUCUGCCUUGUGGGAUCGGAUGUUUCAGACUUCUAAUCCGGUUGAUAUUUCGUACCCAAAAAAAUAAAAAUAAAAAAUGAAAAUUGAUAUUACUUAUUAAGAGGAGGUUAGGUAUGCUAUCGCUUUCUUGGAGCUGGCGAUUCAAUCAGUGGGAAUGUUGGGAAAGGCAUAAGGACUUUUUCAAGGGGAGAAGGAGAGGGAUUGACACAGGUAUACCAACAGCAUAGCCAGUCUUUUCUUUAUUUAUAAAUUACAGACAAUACACACCACUAAAGAAAAGUCUCGAUGAAGGGCCCUUGAUCUUAAAAAACACUUUUGAAGAUCGAGAUUGGAUUGGUUUUUCUAUCGAAAACGAAGAAGGCCGAGGAUGGCCUACAGUGCUUGUUAUCUGAAGGGAACACACUUUUUCGACCGCGGUGGUAUGUCCUCUCCAUGUUCCGCCCAUUGGCCAAUUGAGAUAGCAGCUUUCGGACUUUGCCAGCCCCUAUCCCUUGAAGAUCUUGCUCUAAAUAAUGGUUAAAGAGCAUGAACUAUACAACAAUGCAUACCAAAAACAUCAUAGUUUUGUUUUCUUAUUUCCAUUUUAGAAUGGAAAUCCUCUACACGUAAUCGUGACAACACUUGUUCUUUUUGUUUUCAUAUAUAAUCUUCUUCACCUUUAAAUGGCAGCAAGUGGAUUGGGUGUUGGCCCAAUAGAUGCAAUGUAUAGAGGAUUCAAUCUCAUACCAUUAUCAAGUCUGGUGAGAGUUGUUUGUUUGUAGUGGCUGUUGGAGGAAGAAUAUGGUGGGAGGGCAAUGUACUAGGUAAUUUGGAGAUUAUAAAAUAUAAGAGGAGAAAGAGAGGUG